rnacentral:rRNA from 1 species
CCUACGGGAGGCAGCAGUGGGGAAUAUUGCGCAAUGGGCGAAAGCCUGACGCAGCAACGCCGCGUGGGGGAUGAAGGCCUUCGGGUUGUAAACCCCUUUCAGCAGGGACGAAGCGAAAGUGACGGUACCUGCAGAAGAAGCGCCGGCUAACUACGUGCCAGCAGCCGCGGUAAUACGUAGGGCGCAAGCGUUGUCCGGAAUCAUUGGGCGUAAAGAGCUCGUAGGUGGUCUGUUACGUCUGCUGUGAAAACCUAGGGCUUAACCCUGGGCCUGCAGUGGAUACGGGCAGACUAGAGGUAGGUAGGGGAGAAUGGAAUUCCCGGUGUAGCGGUGAAAUGCGCAGAUAUCGGGAGGAACACCGGUGGCGAAGGCGGUUCUCUGGGCCUUACCUGACACUGAGGAGCGAAAGCGUGGGGAGCGAACAGGAUUAGAUACCCUGG